ACGGAAGGCAGCAGUGGGGAAUAUUGGGCAAUGGGCGAAAGCCUGACCCAGCAACGCCGCGUGAAGGAAGAAGGUCUUCGGAUUGUAAACUUCUUUUAUGAGGGACGAAGGACGUGACGGUACCCCAUGAAUAAGCCACGGCUAACUACGUGCCAGCAGCCGCGGUAAUACGUAGGUGGCGAGCGUUAUCCGGAUUUACUGGGUGUAAAGGGCGCGUAGGCGGGGAUGCAAGUCAGAUGUGAAAUCUAUGGGCUUAACUCAUAAACUGCAUUUGAAACUGUAUCUCUUGAGUGCUGGAGAGGUAGAUGGAAUUCCUUGUGUAGCGGUGAAAUGCGUAGAUAUAAGGAAGAACACCAGUGGCGAAGGCGAUCUACUGGACAGUAACUGACGCUGAGGCGCGAAAGCGUGGGGAGCAAACAGGAUUAGAUACCCUGGUA
rnacentral:rRNA from 1 species